rnacentral:rRNA from 1 species
GGUGAGUAACACAUGGAUAACCUACCUAUAAGACUGGGAUAACUUCGGGAAACCGGAGCUAAUACCGGAUAAUAUAUUGAACCGCAUGGUUCAAUAGUGAAAGACGGUUUUGCUGUCACUUAUAGAUGGAUCCGCGCCGCAUUAGCUAGUUGGUAAGGUAACGGCUUACCAAGGCGACGAUGCGUAGCCGACCUGAGAGGGUGAUCGGCCACACUGGAACUGAGACACGGUCCAG